UACUGCCUACGGGACGCAGCAGUGAGGAAUAUUGGUCAAUGGGCGGAAGCCUGAACCAGCCAAGUCGCGUGAGGGAAUAAGGCCCUACGGGUCGUAAACCUCUUUUGCCGGGGAGCAAGGGCGGGGACGUGUCCCGGCCCGGAGAGUACCCGGAGAAAAAGCAUCGGCUAACUCCGUGCCAGCAGCCGCGGUAAUACGGAGGAUGCGAGCGUUAUCCGGAUUUAUUGGGUUUAAAGGGUGCGUAGGCGGUCCGGAAAGUCAGCGGUAAAAGCCCGGGGCUCAACCCCGGCGAGCCGUUGAAACUG
rnacentral:rRNA from 1 species